rnacentral:lncRNA from 1 species
UGAAAAAAAUACUCAUAAGUACUUAGGCAAUCAUCAUUAUGACCAUUUUUGUAUAUAUAGAAAGAAUAAAUGUUCUACUAUUAAUUACAAUAAAAAAAAAUCAAAGAUACAUUCUUAUCAUAAAUGUGGGGUGCUUGGAUAUAUAGUACAUGUGUACCAUGUUUCAAAAUAUUUUGUUAAAAUAUCUCAAAAAAAUAAGAAACUUUAAGCCGAGGCUUGUGAAGUUCAUACUAUAGAUGCAUCUAUGGAUUCAAUUAGUGUUGAUGAUUUAGAGGCUUAUAUGAAUGACAAAACCUCUAAUGAUGAGUCAAAUAAUAUACUCAUUGAUUUUGCAACAAUACGUACUAUCUUAUGAGAUAGAUGGUUUUUUACUGAAAAACCUUCAACUUGGCAAAUUAUAAAUUUGAUGAAUAUAGCUAAAGCAAAUAUAUUUUCUUUCCAAGAAAGAACAACAAUGAUAAAAUUGCUUGCGGAUUCUAUCAUAAAAUAUAAACAUGCAAUGUUUGUAUCCUCAAU